AAUAUCGUAAUUAAAUUAGGCAUAAUAUUAACUUAGACAGUUAAACUUGCCAGUUCAAAUCUGGUCGAUAUUC
rnacentral:tRNA from 1 species